AACGAACGCUGGCGGCAGGCCUAACACAUGCAAGUCGAGCGCGCCCUUCGGGGUGAGCGGCGGACGGGUGAGUAACGCGUGGGAACGUGCCCUUCUCUGCGGAAUAGCCUCGGGAAACUGAGCGUAAUACAGCAUACGCCCUUUCCGGGAAAGAUUUCUCGGGGAAGGAUCGGCGCGCGUUGGAUUAGGUAGUUGGUGGGGUAAUGGCCAGCCAACCCGAGGAUCCAGAGCUGGUUUGUGAGGAUGAUCAGCCACACUGGGACUGAGACACGGGCCAGCCUCGUACGGAAGGGAGCAGUAGGGAAUCUUAUACGAUGGGGGCAACCGUGAUAUAGCCGUGCGGGGGAAGAGAUGAAGGGCUUAGGGUUGUAAUGCUGUUUCAGCUGGGAAGAUAAUAACGGUACCAGCAAAAGAAGCCCCGGCUAACUCCGUG
rnacentral:rRNA from 1 species